UGAAAACAGUCGUGUUUUAUAGCACGCUGGACCCAAAAUUCACUUAAGUUUUCGCAGCUCUCUCCCAAACCACACUCUCUCGCGACCUUUAGAAACCCUCUCUCUCUCAAUUCUCUUUCUCAUCGCUGAAACACCAUCUCCAUCGCGCCGUCUUGGUCACUAAGCUCGCCAUCCAAGUCACAGAUCUUGGCAUCCAGUUCACUAAGGUCGUCAUAUCCCUUGACGAGGACCCUCCACAAUCUUCGCGAUCUCCUUCAUGAGGCCUCUCUCGAUCCCACUCGUCUCUUCUGUUCCAGGCUUCGCCUUCUCUUCUUUGACCCGUUCUUCAGUAAAUUUGAGGUUUCGUUUUGGUCUUUAUCUUACUUUUGUUUGGGCGAUUUCAAAGAUUUGCAAGCGACGCUUAUCGGUGGUGGUUACGAGUUGGAUCAUCAUUGUGUAAUCACGAUUCUGUUAGCCGUUGCGCUUAGGUCCAAGUCUGACGAUGUUGUGGGUUGUGAGUGUAUAUGUGCUUCUGUUUUUAAUUUAUUUCUAUCUAUUUUGCUUAUUUUCUAAAUUAUUUUCUAUUUCCUGCCAUUUUUGUUUCAAAGAGUAUAGAUCUUCAUAGGUUGUAACACAAAAUCUGUUGAUCUUUUCCUUUUCCCCUUUCUGCUGGUGUUGAUUGAGAUUUUUUUUUUUGUUUUUUUUUUUUCUGUCUGAAGCUUUUUUCCUCCUGUUUUUGUGUCUUUGUCUACCAGUCACACUGCAUCAAUUGCAGCGGAAAUAAUGGAAUUCUCGUGAGAAUGCAUGGUCAUGAAUUUGGGAAAGCAAGUGGGAUGGGGAGUCUUUUGUUGUGUGUGGGGUUUUUGUUUAAAGUAAUGCCAUGCUCUAGUUUAAGGGUUUAUUUGGAGGCAAGACAGAGUUUGACACAGGUGUAAUUCUUUAAUUUGAGUUAUCCAUUUUUAUAUUUGUGUUUAUGCUUCUUUGUCCAAAUUUUGGUCUGUCACAGGGAAAAGAAACUUGAAAGUGCUUUCUUGGUGGAUUUCCAGGAUGCACUUUGACUUAUAGUACAACGUUGUAAUAAAUUUUGUGAUGUUGACAUAUGUUUUUCAUUUUUGGAUAUGGAGUAUUUUGUUUGAAUUUUAUCUAGUUUUCAAGUACUUUACGAAGGAUAAAGAUGCUUGAAUUUUUUUUUUUUUGGGCAUAUUAUAGGAUUUUUUAUUGUGGUUAUAUUGAUUCCAUGACUCUUCUCUUAGUUUGAAUUCUGGACUGUUGAUAUGGUUCAAAGGAGAAGACCUUCUCUUUCUCUUCUUCAUCAAUGGUGUGUGAAGUGCAAAAUGGGGCAGAGAUUGUGAACUAUUUCUUCCUGCACUGUCUAAUUGUCUUACCCCUUUGGUUAAAGCUAUUCAGGGAGGCCAAUUUGUGUUGCGUUAUCAUAGUUGAGUGUGGAUUUCUUUUGUUAGAGGCAUAAGUUUUUUGGUGGGAGGAAGAAGGGUAUGGUUCUAAAAGAUGUGUGGUGAUGGCUAUUGUUUGGGUAGUUUGUGGGGAGAUGAGAGUAAGAUAUUUGACAAGUGAGGGGUGAGGAGGUGGAUUAUCUGUGGGAAAGCGUUU